CCUACGGGUGGCAGCAGUGGGGAAUAUUGCACAAUGGGCGCAAGCCUGAUGCAGCCAUGCCGCGUGUGUGAAGAAGGCCUUCGGGUUGUAAAGCACUUUCAGCGGGGAGGAAGGCGGUGAGGUUAAUAACCUCAUCGAUUGACGUUACCCGCAGAAGAAGCACCGGCUAACUCCGUGCCAGCAGCCACGGUAAUACGGAGGGUGCAAGCGUUAAUCGGAAUUACUGGGCGUAAAGCGCACGCAGGCGGUCUGUCAAGUCGGAUGUGAAAUCCCCGGGCUCAACCUGGGAACUGCAUUCGAAACUGGCAGGCUAGAGUCUUGUAGAGGGGGGUAGAAUUCCAGGUGUAGCGGUGAAAUGCGUAGAGAUCUGGAGGAAUACCGGUGGCGAAGGCGGCCCCCUGGACAAAGACUGACGCUCAGGUGCGAAAGCGUGGGGAGCAAACAGGAUUAGAUACCCGGGUAGUC
rnacentral:rRNA from 1 species